GCGCCUGUGGAGCGCCCAGCACUGUACAAGGUGCCCAGAAGCGAAGCUGGCUGGGUAGGGGGCUCCGAGGGGGCCUGUUCUUGGCUCCCCAGGGGUUUCCAUGGCUGGGAGCUCCUCCAGUCUCUCCCGGGACUCAGAGAAGCCAGCCCCCAAGGCGGGAGCACUCACAUUCCCAAUGAAAGUGAGCAAGUCGAGGGCAGGCCUCCUAGGAAGGAAGAUUCUGCCCCAGUCUCGAAGAAGCCAACCCAGGCCCUCCACGGCGCACCGAGAGCUUCCCGCCCAGUUCCAUCUCCGUACGUGCAGGCGCGAGCGGGAGAAUCACUGGCUCGUCCGCUGCCAGCUCUGGUCCCGCGGUCCCCGCACGCGUCCGGCCGGUUAAGUCUCCGCUUCGGCCCUGGAGAUUGGGCCGGCUCCGACCGACUGACCGGAGAGGGCAAACCAGGCGCCAGGGUUGACGUUACGCACCCGCGGGGAGUGGGGCCUCUGACCUCACGUCCAAAAUUCCCUGAAAGCCUCCUUUUGGGGAUGGAAUUUCAAAACUUCUUUGAAGCCUUUAUGAACCAGGAAACCUUCAUUCAGCACCUCGAAAUCGAAUCCUGCCACGUGCAGCUCACAGGCCUGUGGAGGGAGAGACGGAUCAGCAAAGUGUGAUGACAUUCCUAGAGCAGAGACUGACAUCCCGGCUUGCUCUAGCAUUCCUAGUCCUCUGGAGGCACCCUGGAUCUUCCAACCAUUCAACUACUUCCUGAACUAUGAUCCUCCCUGCCUCACUGACUCUUUUCCAUCCAGACCUCCCUGACUCCCCCAUCCCUCCUGCCCCAUUUCCCCUUCCCUCUCCCUUAAGAGCACCUGGCUGAUACGAUUGAAGCCAUACUGCCGAAAGCGCUCGUCGAAGGUGGGCACCUUGCCUCCAGCUACGUAGAAUGGCUCCCAGGGAUCUUGCCAGGGCACCACGUAGGCAGGCCUCAGCAAGGUCUCUUCUGGCAGGUUGACCCAGCGGGAGUAGUUGGUGGGCGCCUGGCAGGGGGUGCAGAGCCCAUAAUAGAAGGGCCGCACCUCGCCCACCUGGUAGAGCUGCAGCAGCUCGUUUUUGUUCAUGGGCAUGCGGCGAGCUCGACGGAUCUCAAAGGCAGGCACCACCAGUGCUGUGCCCGCCCACUGCUUGCUCUGAUCCAGCAUUUCCCGCAGGCUUCUCCACAGCCCCUCGCUGGGCACCAUGUCCACGUCGAUUACCAAGGCAUAGUUGGCCCCCUCACGAGCCAGAUUCCUCAGCAGGUUAUUGGGGUAGGAGACGUUGGUGCCCAGCGCGUAAUUGACCCCGGGCUGGGCCACCCUGGCCAGCUUGUCAAAGACCUCCUGGCAGGAACGCAACAGGGCAAACUCCCCUGGCUCCCGGGGGUCGGGAACGGCGGCCUCGUAGCGUGAGGGGCACACAAGGUGCAUGGCGACCCUGGCGCGCAUAUCGGGGCAGUGGCUGCUCAGCGCAUAGGUCAGCACCGUGGCCAGCUGCGCCUCUUCCUUGGUGGCGGCGAACACCGACACCGACAGAGGGCCCUCCCAGCGCUCCAACAGGCCCGACAGGUGCAGCAGGUUGUCCACACUGGCGUGAGUGGCCAGGAUCACAUCGUUGGGGUCCCGACCGCGGGGACGGGGGAAAGAACUCGAAAUAUUGGUCUUGCUCCUCUUGCCCAUGCAGCCCGGACAGCAGCGACAGGUAGAGCAGCUGCAGCAUAGCCACCAGCAUGAGCGCGGCCAGCAGCAGCUGGUAGAAGGCACAUCGGAUGGCGUAGGAAACCUGGAGGGCUACUAGGGUGCGGGGCCGGCACCAGGNNNNNNNNNNNNNNNNNNNNNNNNNNNNNNNNNNNNNNNNNNNNNNNNNNNNNNNNNNNNNNNNNNNNNNNNNNNNNNNNNNNNNNNNNNNNNNNNNNNNNNNNNNNNNNNNNNNNNNNNNNNNNNNNNNNNNNNNNNNNNNNNNNNNNNNNNNNNNNNNNNNNNNNNNNNNGGCGGGGGCGGGGGGGGCCGGGGGCGACCCGGGCCCGGCGCGAGGCCCCGCCCACCUGGCCGCCUGCGCUGGCCUCCGGCGAGCCAGCUCGCCCCCUGCUCCCCGGGAGGAGUUACUGCAGCCUCGGUCCUCGCCGCGCGCUUUGCAAACGCUGGAAACUGCCCGCCACCGCGCCUGCUGUGUUCCGGGGGACCUGCACCCCCUUUUCUGGGUUACUGCGCGACCUCCUGGACUAAGUGCGUCCUGAGACCUUGGUUCUCUCGCCCCAGAAUCAGGGAGCGGAAACUGUGACCGAACUUGACUGCAGAAUGGUGAAGGAUGGCGCGGUUCCUGGCGGCGGCAGGCGGAAAGGAACACAAAAGCCCCUUUCUGUCCGUCGCCUCUUUCUCUGAGUUUUAUCAGGUCUGUAUUGAGGAAUGGCUGCAGGGGGUCUCGGAACACUCCGGGAUGAGAGAUAGGGGCAUGUGGAAGAACUUGCCCUACGUAGGACGAGGUGGCCGAGUGGUUAAGGCGAUGGACUGCUAAUCCAUUGUGCUUUGCACGCGUGGGUUCGAAUCCCAUCCUCGUCGUUCGUGUUUUACGCUGGAGAUGAUUCUUAAUUUUCACAUCCUGGUGUCUGGGGCAGUGGGUUGAAGAGAACUGAACUGCGAAUGGGGCACAAUUCAGUUUACGCCGGGUCUCCUUUCUGUGUUCAACGUGCAGCUCCGGCAGGUUCAUACUCCAAGUAUGUGGAGCUAGUGGGAGGAAGUCGGAGCUGUGCUUUUCCUUCGCCAUAGAAAGAGGGCCAAGGGUUUGGUGGCAGCAAAAAACCAGAGCCAGAAUUCUGAUCAAUGCAAAUUGGGGUCCAAGAACUAGAGACGACCCCCUGGAGGAGCUGCUGGUGUAGAACUGGUGACAGUGGAGGCGAUGUUACUGCUAAGUCGCUUCAGUCGUGUCCGACUCUGUGCGACCCCAUAGACGGCAGCCCACCAGGCCCCCCCGUCCCUGGGAUUCUCUAGGCAAGAACACUGGAGUGGGUUGCCAUUUCCUUCUCCAAUGCAUGAAAGUGAAAAGUAAAAGUGAAGUCGCUCAGUCGUGCCCGACUCUUAGCGACCCCAUGGACUGCAGCCUGCCGGUCUCCUCCAUCCAUGGGAUUUUCCAGGCAAGAGUACUGGAGUGGGUUGCCAUUUAAAUUAUUCAGCGCACUGAUUCCCCUUCCUCCAGCACUUCUCUCUGGGCAGAGACUUUGCAUGUGUCCACACACCUGCUGCCCUCCCUCAUACACACAACCGCAUGUGUCCACACACCUGCUGCCCUCCCUCACACACACAACCACACACGCUUAACACCAGUCAGUGUACACAGAAGGCGCUUAAUAAGUGUUUCUGGAAUGAUUGACCCAUGGACUCUAUAAGAGGAGGAGAGGCUGUGCAGAUGCCAAUUACCUCCAUCGGUAGUGUAUUCCAGCGCCGUGAAUCUUCGGAAGGAGCUUUCAGUCGUCCCAGUGAGGGCCUGGAAUGUCGGUUUAAGGUGUUUGCCUGCUGCUCCACAGGCAGUAGGGAACCAAGGUUGUUGAGUUAGGAAGUGAUCAGGAGCAGGAGACCUUUAUUUUGAGGCCCCAGCUUGUGGAAUCUGAAGCUGUCUCCUGGAAGGUAGUGUCAGAAUUGAGUUGCAUCUGUAGGACGCUGAGCUGGUGUCAGAGAAUUGCUUGAUGGGGCGGGGCGGGGUGGGAGGGGGGAAGGAUAGAAUAAUUUAUGUCCAAAUGGUAUGUAUACCCGGGAGAAUGAAAUGGAAACCCACUCCAGUAUUCUCGUCUGGAAAAUCGGAGCCUAGUGGGCUAUAGUCCAAAGGGUCGAAAGAGUCAGAGGUGAGCAACUGACCACAUAAACACACACAGUGAAGACCCAGACAUAGAGAACAGACUUGAUGCAGUGUGGGAAGGAAAGGGUGGGACAAAUUGAGAAAGUAGCACGGAAACGUAUAAAUUACCAUAUGUAAAAUAGAUAGCUAGUGGAAAUUUGCUGUAUGAUGCAGGGAGCUCAAAUCAGGUCCUCUGUGACAACCUAGAGGGAUGGGGUGGGGUGGGAGGCAAGAGCGAUAUUUAAGAGGGAAGGCACAUAUGUAUGCUGUAUACCUAUGGCUGAUUCAUGUUGAUGUAUGGCAGAAACCAACACAAUAUUGUAAAUGAAUUAUCUGCCAAUUAAAAAUUUUUUUAAGUAAGGAAAAUUUAAAAAGUGUAUGUAUAGAAGUAAACUGAAUUUUGUGUAUUGUCCUUGAGCCCUGCAACUUUGCUGUUUGUUUAUUUAAUAGUGUGUGUGUGUGUGUGUGUGUGUAUUCUUUAGGAUUUUCUGUAUGUGUGUAUAUCAUUUAUGAUUGCGGAUAGUUUUACUUCUUCCUUCUCAAUUUGGGUGCCUUUUAUUUCUCUUUCUUGCCCAAUUGCUCUGGCUAGAACUUCUAGUACAAAGUUGAACAGAUGAAAUGGUGAAAAGUAGGCAUCCUUGUCUUUUUCCUGAUCUCAGGGAGACUUCACUCUUUCACAGUUAAGCAUGACAUUAGUUGUAGACUUGUCAUAAACGCUUUUUCAGAUUGAGAAAGUUCUUGUUUAUGCCUUGUUUGUUGAGCAUUUCUAUCUUUCAUUAGUGCUUUUUAAUAUACUGUCUAGGUCGGUCAUAACAGCAAGCGUCUUUUAAUUUCAUGGCUGCAGUCACCAUCUGCAGUGAUUUUGGAGCCCAAGAAAAUAAAGUCUGUCACUUUUUCCAUUUCCCCCCAUCUGUUUGCCAUGAAGAGAUGGGACCAGGUGCCAUGAUCUUCGUUUUUUGAAUGUUGAGUUUUAAGGGAGCUUUU
ensembl:lincRNA